rnacentral:rRNA from 1 species
UGGGGAAUAUUGCACAAUGGGCGCAAGCCUGAUGCAGCCAUGCCGCGUGUAUGAAGAAGGCCUUCGGGUUGUAAAGUACUUUCAGCGGGGAGGAAGGGAGUAAAGUUAAUACCUUUGCUCAUUGACGUAACCCGCAGAAGAAGCACCGGCUAACUCCGUGCCAGCAGCCGCGGUAAUACGGAGGGGGCAAGCGUUAAUCGGAAUUACUGGGCGUAAAGCGCACGCAGGCGGUUGAUUGAGUCAGAUGUGAAAUCCCCGGGCUUAACCCGGGAAUUGCAUCUGAUACUGGUCAGCUAGAGUCUUGUAGAGUGGGGUAGAAUUCCAUUUGUAGCGGUGAAAUGCGUAGUGAUGUGGAGGAAUACCGGUGGCGAAGGCGGCCCCCUGGACAAAGACUGACGCUCAGGUGCGAAGGCGUGGGGAGCAAACAGG